rnacentral:rRNA from 1 species
AUGUGCACCGCACUCGCAUCCAAGCCUUCAUUCUCCACAAUCCACACUGCACACGCCAGCACGCCCGGCGACGCACCCGGCGUCCUCCGCACCGUGACCGAGCGGCGCUUCACGGCCAUGGAUCCACCGCUGAGCCAGCAGCCCACGCUGCUGGCGCUCUCGCUGCUCCUCCUGGCCCUGUACCUGGCGCGCCACGCCCUGCUCGGCAAGCGACGGAACUACCCGCCAGUGGCCGGCACCAUGCUCCACCAGCUCUUCAACUUCGGCCGCCUGGCCGAGUACCAGACGGAGCUCUCCCAGAGGUACCGCACCUUCCGCAUGCUCACCCCGACCUGCAACUACGUGUACACCGUCGAGCCCGCCAACGUCGAGUACAUCCUCCGCACCAACUUCGCCAACUACGGCAAGGGCACCAUGACCCACGACGUGCUGGAGGACCUCCUCGGCGACGGCAUCUUCAACGUGGACGGCGCCAUGUGGCGGCACCAGCGCAAGGUCGCGAGCUUCGAGUUCUCCACCCGGGUGCUCCGCGAGUACAGCAGCGGCGUGUUCCGGGACCACGGCCGCCGAGCUCGCGGGCAUCGUGGCCGCCGCCGCCGCCGCCGGGGAGAGGGUGGACAUGCACGAUCUGUUCAUGCGGUCGACGCUGGACUCGAUCUCUUCACGAUUGGGUUCGGAGUCAACCUGGGCGGGCUGUCCCAGUCCAGCCAGGAGAGCGCGGCGUUCGCCCGGGCGUUCGACGACGCCAACGAGCAGGUGCUGUACCGGUUCUUCGACCCGCUCUGGAAGGCCAAGAGGCUCCUCAACGUCUCGUCGGAGGCGGCCAUGAAGCGGUCGGUGCGCACCAUCAACGACUUCGUGUACGCCGUCAUCGACAAGAAGGUCGAGCAGAUGGGCAGAGAUGAACACGAAUUCGCCAAGAAAGAGGACAUACUGUCGAGAUUCCUGCUGGAGAGGGAGAAAGACCCCGGCUGCUUCGACAACAAGUACCUCCGGGACAUCAUACUGAACUUCGUGAUCGCCGGCCGCGACACGUCGGCGGGGACGCUGUCGUGGUUCCUCUACGUGCUGUGCAGCAACCAGCGCAUCCAGGACAAAAUCGCGAGGGAGGUGCGCGAGGCCACCAGCGGCGACCGGGACGUCGGCGUCCAAGAACUCACGGCGUGCCUGACAGAAGACGCCAUCAGCAACAUGCCGUACCUCCACGCCGCGCUGACGGAGACCCUCCGGCUGUACCCGGCGGUGCCCAUCGAUGUCAAGUACUGCUUUUCUGAUGACACGCUGCCGGACGGCCACGCCGUGAGGAAAGGGGACAUGGUGAACUACCAGCCGUACCCGAUGGGCAGGAUGAAGUUCCUGUGGGGCGACGACGCCGAGGAGUUCAGGCCGGAUCGGUGGCUCGACGGCGACGGCGUGUUCGUCCCGGAGAGCCCCUACAAGUUCACGGCAUUCCAGGCGGGGCCUCGGAUCUGCCUGGGGAAGGAGUUUGCGUACAGGCAGAUGAAGAUAUUUGCGGCUGUUCUUCUCUGCCUCUACAGAUUUGAGAUGUGGGAGCGCGACUCGAUGAUGGGGUACCGCCCGAUGCUCACGCUUAAAAUGGAUGGCCCGCUCCGUGUUCGUGUGUCGCCCCGGCGAGCAAGCGGGUAG